rnacentral:rRNA from 1 species
CGUGUAGGCGGUCUGAUUAGUCUGAUGUGAAAGCCCUGGGCUCAACCCAGGAGGUGCAUUGGAUACUGUCAGACUUGAAUACGGGAGAGGGUAGUGGAAUUCCUAGUGUAGGAGUGAAAUCCGUAGAUAUUAGGAGGAACACCGGUGGCGAAAGCGGCUCUCUGGCCUGUAACUGACACUGAGGCUCGAAAGCGUGGGAGCAAACA